rnacentral:snoRNA from 1 species
GCUGCAGCAGCAGCUGCUGCUGCUGUUGCUGCUGUGCAGCAGCAGGAGCAGCAGCUGCAGAGGGAUGCUGUCUGCGCCUUCUGUGGCCAGGGAGA